AUUCAGCGGACGAGUCCUAAAUAGAACGAAACGUACGUCAAACUGAAU
rnacentral:hammerhead_ribozyme from 1 species